GUCAAUUAUCAGAUUAUUUCCAAUGAGUUGCUGGUGGCUAAAGAGCUGAAAAACAACUUUCCCAAAACUUCAGAUUGCAGAGUGAUACUGUCAGGCAGCUUAUUUGGACAAAGAGUUUCCUGCAAGCUUCUCCUCCCUUCUUAAUAUUUAUAUUACCUGCUGAUGACACGCAGCUCUAUUUCUCCUUUUCAUCUUCUUCAGCAGUGCCUCCUCUGAGCUAAGCCUUUCUCAUGACAUUUCAAGCAGGAUGCCAUAUUAGAUUAUGGUCCUUUAAUAUAGCAAUACACGUCAUCAGAGUUGGAGAACUGGGAAAGAAGCAAGAAUUCGAGCCAAUGCACACAUGAUGAUUUUCCUGUAUAGCUACUUCUGUGGAGGAAAAAGCAACUAUGCCUUAUGCAAGCGGAGGGCAGCAUUGUUGUGUUUUCUCUUGAGGGCCACAGUCCCACCAUAUUCCAAAUAUGGACAAAUUAUAAGAACUACAAAGGAAGAACUAAAAUAAGAAUGACAAGAAAAGAGAAUGUGAUCUUUCCCAACUGUCUGAACCACCGUACAUAUUGCAACAGUUGCCUGUCGCUUGCCUUAACGUACCAGUCAAGUUAUGCAUGUGUUUCUUGACAUGAAAGAAAAUCCUUCCAGGAUCUAAGAAAUGGAACGUGAAUGAAACUGGGUCUAUUCACAUGCAUGUAAAUCUUACUGAGAUGUGAUCAGCCUAAUAUACUCUAAUAGCAAUCUCUGAGCGCUGGUCCUUACAUAUUCAAAAUGGACCCACCCACCCACAAAAUAGAUGUAUCAUCAGGCUCUGGGAAGCCUCAAAGUUUGCAGAAGACCAAAAAGAAAUCUUUAUGGGGGGAAAUAACUCUAAGGGAAGCCCUAAAGACUGCCUCCUUCCCUACAGACCUCUUGGUACUUCCACCAAGAGCUAGUAGUUCUGCUCAAAAGCUUAUGGGGUGGUGACUUGUGAGAGGGCAUUCUAUGUAAAACCUCUAAAUUGUAGAUUUGUCUCCCCACAGAGAUGUGUCUGGCACCUUCAUUAUGUAGUUACCAACAAAUGCUGAAGACACACCUCGUUACCCUGAACUUUGACACCUGAUAGAUAGAUAGAUAUUUCAGGACCUACUGUAUUCUCUUGACUAUAAUUUGUUUUAAAUGGAUUUUAAGAUUGCAUUUUUAAAUUGUUGUAACCUGCCCUGGGAC